UCUCCUAGGACGCCGUCCGUCGUGUGAAUGCGCCUGUAGGCGGAUCAUCCGCGGAUUACCCAUCCGCGUCCACGACAAAUCCGGAUUCGGUCCGUCGUCCGAAUGCACCAUGCAUUCAGACGACAGACCGCGAUACACGGACAAAGUGGCUCGCUGCAGUGUGCAUUGACCCACUCAUUCUCACGAGCGAGGAGGCCGCAUUUGAGACCAGACUUGUUUCAAAGGAGGAACUCUGAGACAUAACGGACUGCUUGGUGCAUAUACGACAAGUUUUGUGACGCACGAACGACUCAAAGCCAAGAAAUCAUUGGAUACUUGACUAGUGGGUUUGUCCACGAACCUUCGCUGACAAGUCACGGUGACUGCGUCGCUGUGGGCGCAAAAGUGAACCACUCUAAAGCACUUACCCCGCAGCCUUGUUAAAAUCGGCCUGGCGAAGACGGCUGAAUCACUUGCUACGACGCUUCGCCGCAACAUGCAGUGUACGGCUACAUGACCGCUUUCGGCAAGGAAUAAAAUUUGAUCGGUUUUGUGUA